ACGGCUCAGUAACACGUAGAUAACCUGCCCUUGGGUCCGGGCAUAACCCCGGGAAACUGGGGAUAAUACCGGAUAACGCACAUAUGCUGGAAUGCUUUAUGCGUAAAAUGGAUUCGUCUGCCCAAGGAUGGGUCUGCGGCCUAUCAGGUAGUAGUGGGUGUAAUGUACCUACUAGCCAACAACGGGUACGGGUUGUGAGAGCAAGAGCCCGGAGAUGGAUUCUGAGACAUGAAUCCAGGCCCUACGGGGCGCAGCAGGCGCGAAAACUUUACAAUGCGGGAAACCGUGAUAAGGGGACACCGAGUGCCAGCAUCAUAUGCUGGCUGUCCGGGUGUGUAAAAUACACCUGUCAGCAAGGGCCGGGCAAGACCGGUGCCAGCCGCCGCGGUAACACCGGCGGCCCGAGUGGUGAUCGUGAUUAUUGGGUCUAAAGGGUCCGUAGCCGGUUUGGUCAGUCCUCCGGGAAAUCUGACGGCUUAACCGUUAGGCUUUCGGGGGAUACUGCCAGGCUUGGAACCGGGAGAGGUAAGAGGUACUACAGGGGUAGGAGUGAAAUCUUGUAAUCCCUGUGGGACCACCUGUGGCGAAGGCGUCUUACCAGAACGGGUUCGACGGUGAGGGACGAAAGCUGGGGGCACGAACCGGAUUAGAUACCCGGGUAGUCCCAGCCGUAAACGAUGCUCGCUAGGUGUCAGGCAUGGCGCGACCGUGUCUGGUGCCGCAGGGAAGCCGUGAAGCGAGCCACCUGGGAAGUACGGCCGCAAGGCUGAAACUUAAAGGAAUUGGCGGGGGAG
rnacentral:rRNA from 1 species